rnacentral:rRNA from 1 species
UGGGGAAUAUUGCACAAUGGGCGCAAGCCUGAUGCAGCCAUGCCGCGUGUGUGAAGAAGGCCUUCGGGUUGUAAAGCACUUUCAGCGAGGAGGAAGGUGGUGGACUUAAUACGUUCAUCAAUUGACGUUACUCGCAGAAGAAGCACCGGCUAACUCCGUGCCAGCAGCCGCGGUAAUACGGAGGGUGCAAGCGUUAAUCGGAAUUACUGGGCGUAAAGCGCACGCAGGCGGUUUGUUAAGUCAGAUGUGAAAUCCCCGGGCUCAACCUGGGAACUGCAUUUGAAACUGGCAAGCUAGAGUCUCGUAGAGGGGGGUAGAAUUCCAGGUGUAGCGGUGAAAUGCGUAGAGAUCUGGAGGAAUACCGGUGGC